rnacentral:rRNA from 1 species
UACGUAGGGUGCAAGCGUUGUCCGGAAUUACUGGGCGUAAAGAGCUCGUAGGUGGUUUGUCGCGUCGUCUGUGAAAGCCCGGGGCUUAACUUCGGGUCUGCAGGCGAUACGGGCAUAACUAGAGUGCUGUAGGGGAGACUGGAACUCCUGGUGUAGCGGUGAAAUGCGCAGAUAUCAGGAAGAACACCGAUGGCGAAGGCAGGUCUCUGGGCAGUAACUGACGCUGAGGAGCGAAAGCAUGGGUAGCGAACAGG